rnacentral:lncRNA from 1 species
UUAGACGCUAAACUUGUAUACCCUCCAAAUAUUGGCAUUCAUUUUGUAGCUCUCCUUGUUCAGCUUUGACUCUCUUAUCUGCAAAGGAGGAUCCAUUCAAUAAUUAGCUUCACGUAGCCGAAAAUGGAUAUAUACUAAACAAGUACAUAUGCAUGUAUGCAUGUAUCUACCCAAUUUUUGGCACUGGGAAAGACUUUGAAAGGAAGAGAAGAGGGAAAAGAAAACAAAAAGAAAUUAGUUUUGACUAGAUUACGUCGUCUUUUUUCGUAAAAGAAGGCCCCUUUCUUUUCCCCUUAAUUCCAAGAAAAUGAAGCGGUUUCGGUUACAGUUUGGAAAGCCCUACACACUAUCAUAUAUGGGUUCCUCUCUAGCUGUUGACCCUAGCUCAUUCAGGCCCCCUCCCCUGAUCCCUUUGUCUAGCCCUUUAUUGGCUGACCAUUUCCACUUAAAAGAACCAUCAGCACCACCAGAUUGAGACAGAUUUAAGAUUUACCAACCCAUGUAUGAACUGAGAACCUUUGUAGGAAUGUGCCCAAAAGCCCAAACAAAGAGCAUCUACUACAGCCUGGCAAGCCUAUAGUAAAAGUCAUUCAACUCCUAAUUGAUCAUUGAACAAGCAGAGCAACCCCUAUUAUGCCUUCCAUGAAUGGGAGACUAUUAACAAUCUCGAUCCUGCACUUGAACAUAGGAUUCAAUGGUAAAUUCGUAUAUCCUCUGUUCAAAAAGGCAAAAGAAUAGUUCCCUCUGUGCUGACCACACGGCUCCAUUCUGUUCAAAAAACUAGAUUCAAAUUCCUGUUCCCAAAAAGGGAAAAAUAAAAUACAGCCCUAUUCCCUUGCAAAAAGUUCACAACAUCCUGAAAUCAGGUGGCCAUUAGGAUCAUGGAAAGCGCACUCAGCCACUCAUUUCUGAGCUUAUUAACAGUGAAAAGGAUUUUCACUCAGCUUCGGCUACCACCAUAUAAGCAUAAGCAUGAUUUUCACAAAAAAAAAAAGCAUAAGCAGAAAUCAUGAAGACUCACUCAAAGCCCAGCUGUUCGAUGCCUGACAACCCUGUAUGUGAAUUCCAUUGACCAGUUGCCUUGUUCAUGUCAAUUAGUACCCCCAACACCUGAUAAGGCUAGAGAUUUACCAUCCAACAGCAAUCAAUAUUAAGCAUUAGUACAGAAACUACAUCCCGCAGCCUGAUGAAGUAUCAGAUGAGAAAGUUGCACCAAUCCCAAAUACAGCAUGCACCAUGCUGCAUCAGCAGACACUGGCCAGGGAAUUCCAGC